rnacentral:tRNA from 1 species
GUUUCUUAUUUAUAUAGUUUAAAAAAAACAUUACAUUUUCAUUGUAAAAUUAAAUAACUACCAUUUUAUAA